rnacentral:rRNA from 1 species
GAUGAACGCUAGCUACAGGCUUAACACAUGCAAGUCGUGGGGCAUCAUGAUGUAGUAAUACAUUGAUGGCGACCGGCGCACGGGUGAGUAACGCGUAUCCAACCUACCCUCCACUCAAGUAUAGGCUUCCGAAAGGGAGAUUAAUCCUUGAUAUCGUCAUUCUCUCUCCUGUUAGAAUGAUAAAAGGACAUCGUUUCGGUAGAGGAUGGGGAUGCGUUCCAUUAGGUAGUAGGUGGUUUAACAGGCCACCUAGCCGAUGAUGGAUAGGGGUUCUGAGAGGAAUAUCCCCCACACUGGUACUGAGAUACGGACCAGACUCCUACGGGAGGCAGCAGUGAGGAAUAUUGGUCAAUGGGCGCAAGCCUGAACCAGCCAUGUAGCGUGAAGGAUGACGGUUUUUUUGAUUGUAAACUUCUUUUCUGUGCGAUUAAAGUGUGGCAUUUAUGCCAUAUUGCAGUAUUUCAGGAAUAAGCU